rnacentral:rRNA from 1 species
GAGUUUGAUCGUGGCUCAGAGCGAACGCUGGCGGCAGGCCUAACACAUGCAAGUCGAACGGACCCUUCGGGGUUAGUGGCGGACGGGUGAGUAACACGUGGGAACGUGCCUUUAGGUUCGGAAUAGCUCCUGGAAACGGGUGGUAAUGCCGAAUGUGCCCUUCGGGGAAAGGAUUAUCGCCUUUAGAGCGGCCCGCGUCUGAUUAGCUAGUUGGUGAGGUAACGGC